rnacentral:rRNA from 1 species
AUUCGUCCAAGUGAAGUAGAGGACAGUGGCGGACGGGUGAGUAACGCGUGAGGAACCUGCCUUUCAGAGGGGGACAACAGUUGGAAACGACUGCUAAUACCGCAUGACACAUUGGGGUCGCAUGAUCUUUAUGCCAAAGAUUUAUCGCUUCAAGAUGGCCUCGCGUCUGAUUAGCUAGUUGGCGGGGUAACGGCCCACCAAGGCGACGAUCAGUAGCCGGACUGAGAGGUUGAACGGCCACAUUGGGACUGAGAUACGGCCCAGACUCC